rnacentral:rRNA from 1 species
AGUAAUGUAUGGGGAUCUGCCUGAUGGCGGGGGAUAACUACUGGAAACGGUAGCUAAUACCGCAUAAUGUCUGCGGACCAAAGCGGGGGACCUCCGGGCCUCGCGCCAUCAGAUGAACCCAUAUGGGAUUAGCUAGUAGGUGGGGUAACGGCUUACCUAGGCGACGAUCCCUAGCUGGUCUGAGAGGAUGAUCAGCCACACUGGGACUGAGACACGGCCCAG